UGGUGGAGUGAUUUGUCUGCUUAAUUGCGAUAACGAACGAGACCUUAACCUGCUAAAUAGCCCGCGCCGCUCCGGCGGCGCGCCGGCUUCUUAGAGGGACUAUCGGCUCAAGCCGAUGGAAGUUUGAGGCAAUAACA
rnacentral:rRNA from 1 species